AGGGGCAGCACGAUGUAGCAAUACAUUGGUGGCGACCGGCGCACGGGUGAGUAACGCGUAUGCAACCUACCUAUCAGAGGGGAAUAACCCGGCGAAAGUCGGACUAAUACCGCAUAAAACAGGGGUUCCACAUGGAAAUAUUUGUUAAAGAAUUAUCGCUGAUAGAUGGGCAUGCGUUCCAUUAGAUAGUUGGUGAGGUAACGGCUCACCAAGUCCACGAUGGAUAGGGGUUCUGAGAGGAAGGUCCCCCACACUGGUACUGAGACACGGACCAGACUCCUACGGGAGGCAGCAGUGAGGAAUAUUGGUCAAUGGGCGAGAGCCUGAACCAGCCAAGUCGCGUGAAGGAUGAAGGAUCUAUGGUUUGUAAACUUCUUUUAUAUGGGAAUAAAGUGAGGACCGUGUUCCUUUUUGUAUGUACCAUAUGAAUAAGCAUCGGCUAACUCCGUGCCAGCAGCCGCGGUAAUACGGAGGAUGCGAGCGUUAUCCGGAUUUAUUGGGUUUAAAGGGUGCGUAGGUGGUUAAUUAAGUCAGCGGUGAAAGUUUGUGGCUCAACCAUAAAAUUGCCGUUGAAACUGGUUGACUUGAGUAUAUUUGAGGUAGGCGGAAUGCGUGGUGUAGCGGUGAAAUGCAUAGAUAUCACGCAGAACUCCGAUUGCGAAGGCAGCUUACUAAACUAUAACUGACACUGAAGCACGAAAGCGUGGGGAUCAAACAGG
rnacentral:rRNA from 1 species